AGCGAACGCUGGCGGCAGGCCUAACAUAUGCGAGUCGAACGAACCUUUCGGGGUUAGUGGCGGACGGGUGAGUAACACGUGGGAACGUGCCUUUAGGUUCGGAAUAACUCAGGGAAACUUGUGCUAAUACCGAAUGUGCCCUUCGGGGGAAAGAUUAAUCGCCUUUAGAGCGGCCCGCGUCUGAUUAGCUAGUUGGUUGAGGUAAUGGCUCACCAAGGCGACGAUCAGUAGCUGGUCUGAGAGGAUGAUCAGCCACAUUGGGACUGAGACACGGCCCAAACUCCUACGGGAGGCAGCAGUGGGGAAUCUUGCGCAAUGGGCGAAAGCCUGACGCAGCCAUGCCGCGUGAAUGAUGAAGGUCUUAGGAUUGUAAAAUUCUUUCACCGGGGACGAUAAUGACGGUACCCGGAGAAGAAGCCCCGGCUAACUUCGUG
rnacentral:rRNA from 1 species